rnacentral:lncRNA from 1 species
GAACACACCAGCUAACUUUAGCUCCUUUUUCCCAAUUUUUUUAAUUAACGAUGCCAUUCCUCGCCCUUGUCACCGUCCAAGGAUAAUGGCGACAUGUAACAGGCAGAAUUUUUGAAGAGUAGGCUGAUUUAAGAGUAUGAAUUAAUACAAGGCAUACAAGUGAAAAAAAUAAAUAAAUAGAAAAAUUUGAGUCGAAGUUGCAGCAACUUCCCAUGUUUCUGAAAGUUAGUUUACGUGAAAUGUAUUGCCUUAAAAUCCUUUGGCAGAAGACAAUAAUCCCAUUGGCCCAUCUGUUUGCCAAAAGAUAGAGGCAAGAUCUACAUUUUCAGAUGCCUCCUUUAUUUUGGAACGGCAGAUUGUCAGAAUAAGACGCCAAAACAAAGCUUGCAUAGCGGGCACAACUGAAAAUUUUCAUUUUUCAUUGUUCUUGAUUAUUGUAUGUGAUGGUGAUUUCCUUUUGAUGAGAUAUUGUCUGCCUGUUGUACAACGAGUUCUUUAAACCAAUGCACUUAAGACCAAGGAACUAAAAGCUAACAGCCAAAACAGAAAAGAAUCAAGUUUAUCGUUUGCUCGAUUUCAAACAGAUGAUACAUUUCAAUAGGUCUCUACUCCUGAAUACCUUGAGGAAAUGAAAGACUUGCAAAAAGAAAUAACAAGUUCCAUUCAGCAUUCUGCUGUACAAUAUAAAAUGAUAUACAAUAGAAUCUCUUUAUAGUGAUUACACUGAUACCUAUGAUUAUAAGAAAAUUAUAACUUAAUGGAGGUUUAAGUAUUAAAUUUUUUUUUUAAAAUUAAUACUUAAUCUGUUUGUGAUAUACGAUAGAAACAAAAAAUAAAAUAUGUUAAUAUCUUGACAUAUUAUAUAAAUAAAAUAAAUGAGACCAAAUAAUACUAUAGCAAGUCAAAAUAUAGCAUAGCAUAUAUUUUUUAAAAUUAUAUAUAUAAAUAUUACUAUAUAGAGAAAAAAUUUCUUAAGACGGAACUUAAAAAUUUUAUAAGUUAUUAUAAUAGAGAGUUGAUUUCUAUAUAAUUUCAUAUUAUACAAAUAAUAUUAAUGAGACCAAAUAAUACUUCAGUGAGUCAAAAUAUAAUAUAAUAUAUAUUCUUUAAAAUUGUAUAUACAAAUAUUACUAUAUAGAGAAAAAAUUUCUUAAAACGGAACUUAAAAAUUUUAUAAGUUAAUAUAUAGAGAGUUGAUUUCUAUAUAAUUUCAUAUCAUACAAAUAAGAUUAAUGAGACCAAAUAAUACAACAUUAAGUCAAAAUAUAAUAUAAUAUAUAUUUUUUAAAAUUGUAUAGAUAAAUAUUAUUAUAUAAAAAAAUAUUUUCUCAUGACAUAAUUUAAAAAACUUAUAAGUUAUUAUAAUAGAGAGUUUAUUUCUAUUUAAAAUAUAUCAAAUUGAAAUUAAAUUUUUUUAUCAUUAUAUAUAAAUUAUUUCUAUAUAGAAUAUCACUGUAAGAGUUCUAAUAGAAUAACAUUAAUAAAAAGAUAAGUACAUUUUAUGCUUUUGAGAAAAGUUUUCAAGUGCUAAGAUCCAAUUGAAAUCAUUGUUUACUAAUGAAUAGUGUCUUUUUCUUAAGUUUACUAUUUUCUUAUUUAUUAAUAGGACUACUAUAGAGUUUGAACUCAAAAUUGAAAUAAAACUAAUAUAAGAAUUAGCCAAAUAAUAUUUGUUGUCCCUAUAUGAUAAAAUUUAUUUUCAUCAUGCAUUAUUUCAAGUAUAUGAUGAAAUUUAUAAAGGUUUAACAUCUAUUUGUUAUUAGAUGUUUUAAUUAUACAAGCUCAAAAGGUUUUAGCAUUAGUGAGGAAAAUUUUGUUUAUACACUAUGCUAAAAGUAUUGUGGAUAAUAUAAUAUAAAUAGUCAUUCUCUUUACAUAUUUUAAAUUAUAAAAAUAAUAUUUAUUUAAAAAAAACACGCUCAUGAUUUUAUAUAUUUUUAAUUGAAUUAACUUGUUUAAGAAUAUUAAUAUUAGUAAUUGAAUGUCAAACUUUAAUUAAAUAAAGAAAUGUAAAUACUUAUAAGUUAUAUAUUAAUAUUUUUAUGUUAAGGCUGGUUCUGAACACCGCAUGACAUCAUCUUCAACCAACAUCCACAUAAGCAAUAAAAGUUUAUGGCUAAAGUAUCACAUGAAAACUAAUUUCUUAUGUGAUUUACCCUUUAAACCACUAAUUGAUAUUUGUUAGACUUUUAAUCUUAACAAGGCAUUGGUAUGUAAAGUGAAUAACUUGAUAGAUUGCUAAAGAAGAAGUCAAUUGUUCAUGAAAGCCUUUGAAAUAAUCAAAUUAUCUAUUGAGAUAUAGUACUCACCUUGAUACUUGCCUUUGCAUGGUAUCCCUCCCCUCCACACUUGCAUUAGAGUAUAUAUCCUAAAUCCAUCCUUAAUAGGGGAUGCCUCCUUUACAAACUCACAACCCAAAAUUUGCUUGUCAAACAAGCCUUUCAUAGUUUUGUUUCUCACACAAAUAAUUGUGGUGCAAGUUCUCCUUUUAUAGGCCAUUUGAACACAAAUUAGGGCACCAUUCUUGU